rfam:Eubacterium sp. CAG:86 genomic scaffold, scf227
AAUUUAAGUAGAGGUCGCAUUGUUUAUCAGUAUUCCUAUGGAUGCCGCGGCAGGCAGUUGAAGCAGGGAAGAAAGGAAACGAUGCCGAAGUAAAAUGUCGGCCGCAGAUGUUUUGCUGGGCGUAAAGUCAAUAGCUUUGCGACUGUCAUCAGCAGAUGGAGAGCUACGUACAGA